rnacentral:lncRNA from 1 species
UGCGCAAUAUCGGACCAGGUCAAGCUCUAGGUAUUGGUACGUUCUUCUAAUUAUUUGUGCCUUAGGUCCCUCUUUUUUUUUCAUGCCCUGAGAAGUCAUUUUUAAGCAGUUAAAGAAGAGGAUGACUUAAUUCUCCAGAUAACCCAAUAUUUUGGAGUCAGUUGCGGUGAUUGUUAUCAAUUUUUUGGUCAUAUGCAGCAAGGCACUGUUUCUUUAUCCAUUUUUGGUAGAUUAAUGGUUCUAUCAAAGUUGCUCAAAUAACUAAAGAAUGCCAAAAUACGAAAAAAAAAUAAUAAUAAAAUGAACGAAACAAUCAAGCUGGAAAUAGACUGUAUCUGGGGCUUGUUGAUCAUUAAUUUUAACUAGCUCACCGUACACAUGAACUUGAAAAGAAAAAGGACAGUGAAAUAAGAAAGUGGUGACAGCAAGCCUCUUGACAAAACUCUUCUCCCUUCGCAGAUGUGGAGGAGACCUCUAGUCCUAUGUGCUACCGAUCGAGUUCCCAGGAAAUGGAUUAUUGGACUUCACUGGAUAAAGCAGGCCGCCCAGGGACUAGCUUUUGAGUUGAUUACGCUGAAGCUACUGUAGAAUGGUUUCCAUAUGCAAUAUAUGGAGAGCUAGGAAUGACUUGCUGCAUAUUGCUCCUCCUGUUGACGUUGGGAGGAAUCCCCUUGUGCUUGCAGCAAGAUAUAGCAUCGAAGGGUGCAUAAGCUGCUGUAGAGAAAG